GUGCAGCAGGCGCGAAAACUUCACAAUGUGCGAAAGCACGAUGAGGGAAUCCCAAGUGCUUGCACGUAAGUGUAAGCUGUUUCUCUGUCUAAAACGCAGAGAGAGUAAGGGCUGGGUAAGACGGGUGCCAGCCGCCGCGGUAAUACCUGCAGCUCGAGUGGUGACCGUUAUUAUUGGGGCCUAAAACGUCCGUAGCCGGUUUAAUAAAUGCCUGGGUAAAUCGGACCGCUUAACGGUUCGAAUUCCGGGUAGACUGUUAAACUUGAGACCGGGAGAAGUUAGAGGUACUCCUGGGGUAGAGGUGAAAUUCUGUAAUCCUAGGGGGACCACCAGUGGCGAAGGCGUCUAACUAGAACGGGUCUGACGGUGAGGGACGAAGCCCUGGGGCGC
rnacentral:rRNA from 1 species